rnacentral:tRNA from 2 species
UAAAUAAAAAUCAAAUCUAUAAAAUUUAAUUUUUAUUUAAAAAAUUUAUUUUAUAAUUAUAAUAUAA